rnacentral:rRNA from 1 species
GUGAGGAAUAUUGCGCAAUGGACGAAAGUCUGACGCAGCCAUGCCGCGUGAAGGAUUGACGGCCCUAUGGGUUGUAAACUUCUUUUGUAUAGGAAUAAACCCUCGUUCGUGAACGAGGCUGAAGGUACUAUAAGAAUAAGCACCGGCUAACUCCGUGCCAGCAGCCGCGGUAAUACGGAGGGUGCAAGCGUUAUCCGGAUUUAUUGGGUUUAAAGGGUCCGUAGGCGGAUCGUUAAGUCAGUGGUGAAAUCCUACCGCUCAACGGUAGAACUGCCAUUGAUACUGGCGAUCUUGAGUAUGUAUGAAGUUGGCGGAAUGUGUGGUGUAGCGGUGAAAUGCUUAGAUAUCACACAGAACACCGAUUGCGAAGGCAACUGACUAAUACACAACUGACGCUGAGGGACGAAAGUGUGGGGAUCAAACAGGAUUAGAAACCCGUGUAGUCC